rnacentral:sRNA from 1 species
GUAUCUGAAGUCUGACGAGGAUGAGAACCUCCGGGGGCAAGAGGUUCGACUCGAGCGAAGCGAGAGAACGUUGCGUCAGCAACGGCCCGCAGUGGCAAGUCAUCCUCUGUCACCGGCCG